rnacentral:lncRNA from 1 species
UUUAUUUGUAUACUAUGAAUAGAAAAUGUAGAUAAGGAUUAGACAACAUUUAUGCAUUUUUUUAUUUUUUUUUCUCUUCCAAAUUUUAUAUAUUUUUGUGUUAGAGUGAGUAAAGUAUUUCACAAUUUAAAUUGUUGUUUAAUUCAUUCAAAACUGUUUGAUAAUGUUAUAACACGUUCUCUUUACUUUCUACUACGCUUGUGUUUUGAAAGGAGAAUGAUUAAAAAUCCAAUAGAAUCUCACUAUUUGGAUCAUAAGUAAGUGUCAAUUUUCAUUAGAAAAAAAUAAAACCAUCCUCAUCAAAUCCUAUAUUACAAAUUUUAUCGGUUUCAAAUUUAUGAAUAUUUAAG